ensembl:lncRNA
CUGGGCAUAGACAGCCAUGAGAAGGGAGUGUUGGUGGGGACACUGGCCCACUGGGGGCUUUCCCUGUCUUUAUUCCUGCAGGAGCUUUUUGCAUGCUGGGGUUGGCGGGGGCUGGGGCCACACCACCGCAGCAGUGCCUGUGCCUUUCAUCUUAAAGCCACUCCUUUGCUAGGACCAUCAGUUCAUGCCUCAGGGGCCUUGGCCAGGCAGGAGACCUAGGGACACAUUUCCGGGGAGGCUGGGGAAUUACUCCAGCCUCCCCUGCAGAGAAGUGGGUUCACAGUGGGCCCCCAAGGCACUUCCUGUUUCAAAGGGCUUAUCUUCCCACACCCCCUGUUAGAAAACCAAGUACUGGAAAAGCAAGACUCUGUACAGGAAGCCAAAUGCUAGGGGUUGCAGCUCAGUGGGGUGGGUGCAGGGGUUCAGCCAACCACUUCCUGAAACUCUCUUUGUGGCUUCCAACCACGCCCCGUGGCACCGUCAGGUCCAGAGGGCUGACUUCACCUGAAUGUCAGGAAGCUCUGGAUAGGGCUGAGCCUCCAGUGGGUAAGGGUCAUAGCUGAGGUCGAUAGUUUAAGCAGCAGAAGUCAGUCUGAGUAAUCAAGAUGGGUGGGUCCUUCCCCAUACUCAGGUUCUCCUGGGACAGGCUCUCCCUCCCCACCCUGGAAGCCAGAAACUCUGGUACUAUCCUGGAGGUUUUAUGCUUCCUCUUAGUAAACUACUGAACGCUCCCAGGCAUUAACAGGCUGACCAUCCUGGAGGACCACACACUUGGCUACUACGUACAGGCUCCACUCACACCAAAGAUCAGAGAUGCUGAGGACACCCACGCCCUGUGACUACCUGCUUAUAGUGCCUGAACAUUCCAACCAGACGGAAGAAGCCGUAACAUGGGCUCCUGUUACCCAAAGGUGUUGAGGAUGUAAGUUAUGAAUGACCACACCACAGCAAGGUAUGAUCCAUACCAUACCCGGAUCCCCCUCACCACCACUACCGAAAGCCUUGCUUUUUGGUAUUUAUUGCCCCCUCCCCCAUUACAGCACCCACCUUUGGUGUGAGUGGAGCC